AUACGUAGGGGGCGAGCGUUGUCCGGAAUGAUUGGGCGUAAAGGGCGCGUAGGCGGCUUUGCAAGUCAGUAGUGGAAGUCCAUUUUUCAAGGAUGGAAGUGCUACAGAAACUGCGGAGCUUGAGUGCAGGAGAGGGAAGCGGAAUUCCAAGUGUAGCGGUGAAAUGCGUAGAUAUUUGGAGGAACACCAGUGGCGAAGGCGGCUUUCUGGACUGCACCUGACGUUGAGGCGCGAAAGCGUGGGGAGCGAACAGGAUUAGAUACCCUGGUAGUCCACGCUGUAAACGAUGGAUGCUAGGUGUGGGGGGUAUCGACCCCCUCCGUGCCGGAGUUAACGCAAUAAGCAUCCCGCCUGGGGAGUACGGCCGCAAGGUUGAAACUCAAAUGAAUUGGCGGGG
rnacentral:rRNA from 1 species